GGAAGUAAAUAGUCGUAACAAGGUCUUUGGUAGGUGAAACUUGCGGAGGGAUCAUUUAUUCGACACAUAUCGGACCAAAUAUGUUUGAAGUGUGUCACCACAGCUUGCUGUGGCAUGGGUUGUAAUAGUUCAUUCCCUUUCCCGGCUAUUACUUAUCCCACCGAUAGGUGAAAGGAAGGUUAUCAGUAAUCGGAUUCAUACUUCGGUAUGAAGUGAUAACCCGCCCUUUGGGUGUGUUGUAAUAGAAGUACUUUCCCUUCUAUUGCUUAUACAACCGAUAGGAUAGAUGCUUUGCGAUGGAUGACUAGGGUCUUGUAUCGAUGAAGAACGCAGUUAAACGUGACAUUUAAUGUGACUUGCAACUCCCGUGAAUCAUCGAGAUUUUGAACACAUACGGAACUCUUGCUGCUUUCGAGUAGCAAGGGUACUUGCUUGUGAGUGUCAGUUACCAUUCAUAUUAGCUCUGAGCGAUAAUCUGCACUAACCCUGCCAGGUUAUAAAAGAUUGCUCUCAGCUAUCUUCAGUCUUAGGAUUGAACACGGUAUGCAUGAAGGCUUUGCCAGAUUGCAAUUUUAUUAUAUCUGGCCUCAUUUGUGAGUGGUUACCCACUGAAUUUAAGCAUAUUAGUCAGCGGAGGAAAGGGCGAUCC
rnacentral:rRNA from 1 species